rnacentral:rRNA from 1 species
GGAUGUACGCUGGCGGCGUGCCUAAAACAUGCAAGUCGAGCGGUAAGGCUCUGCACUUAGUGUUUGAUCGGGAUAAUUUUUUAAGAUUAUUGUAGCAGACCAAUUUGACCCUUGGCGGGGAAGAUGCGGAAUGGGAAGAUCGAAUCAUAAGUGUAGAGUACACGAGCGGCGGACGGGUGAGUAACACGUGGGAAUCUACCCCAAACUGAGGGAUAAGCACCGGAAACGGUGUCUAAUACCGCAUAUGGUCUUCGGAUUAAAGCUUCGGCGGUUUGGGAAGAGCCCGCGCAAGAUUAGCUAGUUGGUGAGGUAAAGGCUCACCAAGGCUACGAUCUUUAGCUGGUUUGAGAGGAUGAUCAGCCACACUGGAACUGAGACACGGUCCAGACUCCUACGGGAGGCAGCAGUUAGGAAUUUUCCACAAUGGGCGCAAGCCUGAUGGAGCAACGCCGCGUGCAGGAUGAAGGUUUUCGGAUCGUAAACUGCUUUUAUGUGCGAAGAAUAUGACGGUAACACAUGAAUAAGGAUCGGCUAACUCCGUGCCAGCAGCCGCGGUCAUACGGAGGAUCCAAGCGUUAUCCGGAUUUACUGGGCGUAAAGAGUUGCGUAGGUGGUUUGUUAAGUGAAUAGUGAAAUCUUGUGGCUCAACCAUAAGGCUAUUAUUCAAACUGGCAAACUCGAGAAUGAGAGAGGUCACUGGAAUUCCUUGUGUAGGAGUGAAAUCCGUAGAUAUAAGGAGGAACACCAAUGGCGUAGGCAGGUGACUGGCUCAUUUCUGACACUGAGGCACGAAAGCGUGGGGAGCGAACGGGAUUAGAUACCCCGGUAGUCCACGCCGUAAACGAUGGAUGCUAGCUGUUAGGAGUAUCGACCCUUCUAGUAGCGAAGCUAACGCGUUAAGCAUCCCGCCUGGGGAGUACGGUCGCAAGAUUAAAACUCAAAGGAAUUGACGGGGACCCGCACAAGUGGUGGAGCGUGUUCUUUAAUUCGAUGAUAAGCGAAGAACCUUACCAGGGUUUGACAUCCUUGGAAUCUCUGUGAAAGCAGAGAGUACUUUAUUGGACCAAGUGACAGGUGUUGCAUGGCCGUCGUCAGCUCGUGUCGUGAGAUGUUAGGUUAAGUCCUUCAACGAGCGCAACCCUUAUGUUUAGUUGGAUUUUUCUAAACAGACUGCCCCGGUAACGGGGAGGAAGGAGGGGAUGAUGUCAGGUCAUUAUUACCCUUACACCCUGGGCUAGAAACGCGCUACAAUGGCCGGUACAAAGGGCAGCCAACCCGCGAGGGGGAGCAAAUCCCAUCAAAACCGGUCCCAGUUCGGAUUGCAGGCUGAAACUCGCCUGCAUGAAGCCGGAAUCACUAGUAAUCGUAGGUCAGCACACUACGGUGAAUACGUUCCCGGGUCU